UACGAAGGGGGCUAGCGUUGCUCGGAAUUACUGGGCGUAAAGGGCGCGUAGGCGGAUAUCUAAGUUGGGGGUGAAAUCCCGGGGCUCAACCUCGGAAUUGCCUUCAAAAACUGGAUAUCUUGAGUUCGGGAGAGGUGAGUGGAACUCCGAGUGUAGAGGUGAAAUUCGUAGAUAUUCGGAAGAACACCAGUGGCGAAGGCGACUCACUGGCCCGAUACUGACGCUGAGGCGCGAAAGCGUGGGGAGCAAACAGG
rnacentral:rRNA from 1 species